rnacentral:rRNA from 1 species
CAGGUAGGUGGUCUGAUUUGUCUGGCGGUGAAAUCCUUGAGCUUAACUCAAGAAGUGCCCCGGAAACGGUCAGACUUACGAGUCUUGGAGAGGGUUGCGGAAUUCCCGGUGUAGCGGUGAAAUGCGUAGAGAUCGGGAGGAACACCAGAGGCGAAGGCGGCAACCUGGACAAGCACUGACACUCAACUGCGAAAGCGUGGGAGCAAACA